rnacentral:rRNA from 1 species
AACGCUAGCUACAGGCUUAACACAUGCAAGUCGCGGGGCAGCAUGUCGGUUGCUUGCAACCGAUGAUGGCGACCCGCGCACGGGUGAGUAACGCGUAUCCAACCUGCCCAUCACUUGGGAAUAACCUUGCGAAAGUAAGACUAAUGCCCAAUGACAUUUAUAGAAGGCAUCUGAAAUGAAUUAAAGAUUUAUCGGUGAUGGAUGGGGAUGCGUCUGAUUAGCUUGUUGGCGGGGUAACGGCCCACCAAGGCGACGAUCGGUAGGGGUUCUGAGAGGAAGGUCCCCCACAUUGGAACUGAGACACGGUCCAAACUCCUACGGGAGGCAGCAGUGAGGAAUAUUGGUCAAUGGCCGCGAGGCUGAACCAGCCAAGUAGCGUGCAGGAAGACGGCCCUAUGGGUUGUAAACUGCUUUUAUAGGGGAAUAAAGUGAGCCACGUGUGGUUUUUUGCAUGUACCCUAUGAAUAAGGACCGGCUAAUUCCGUGCCAGCAGCCGCGGCAAUACGGAAGGUCCGGGCGUUAUCCGGAUUUAUUGGGUUUAAAGGGAGCGUAGCCCGGAGAUUAAGCGUGUUGUGAAAUGUAGACGCUCAACGUCUGCACUGCACCGCGAACUGGUUUCCUUGAGUACGCAUAAAGUGGGCGGAAUUCGUGGUGUAGCGGUGAAAUGCUUAGAUAUCACGAAGAACUCCGAUUG